rnacentral:misc_RNA from 1 species
CAGACGGCGUCGUUGCAAAGCCCUUUCUCCAGUUCCACUCUCCGAUCGAAAACUUGGCCAAAAAGACAGAAAAGGAUCAAAAAUAGUUUUGCCAGUCUCUGAAUAAUCACUCACUCAAUUUCUGUAUCGCUCGCAGCUUCAUACGCAAGCCAGUCUCUCAAAACGUCAGUGUGAUAUAAAAUGUCUCGAAGAUAUGAUAGCCGCAC